CACGUAGGGUGCGAGCGUUAAUCGGAAUUACUGGGCGUAAAGCGUGCGCAGGCGGUUCGUUAAGUCAGAUGUGAAAGCCCCGGGCUCAACCUGGGAACUGCAUUUGAAACUGGCAGGCUUGAGUAUGGCAGAGGGGGGUGGAAUUCCGCGUGUAGCAGUGAAAUGCGUAGAGAUGCGGAGGAACACCGAUGGCGAAGGCAGCCCCCUGGGCCAAUACUGACGCUCAGGCACGAAAGCGUGGGGAGCAAACAGG
rnacentral:rRNA from 1 species